rnacentral:rRNA from 1 species
UACGUAGGGGGCAAGCGUUGUCCGGAAUCAUUGGGCGUAAAGAGCGUGUAGGCGGCCCGGUAAGUCCGCUGUGAAAGUCCAGGGCUCAACCCUGGGAUGCCGGUGGAUACUGUCGGGCUCGAGUCCGGAAGAGGAGAGUGGAAUUCCUGGUGUAGCGGUGAAAUGCGCAGAUAUCAGGAAGAACACCCGUGGCUAAGGCGGCUCUCUAGUACGGUACUGACGCUGAGACGCGAAAGCGUGGGGAGCGAACAGG